CAAAGGAAGUCCACAGCUUCUCCCCUGGACUAGGCAGCUACAUGUGAUUUAACUUGUGUAAUCUGGGACUCAUCCGUAUGGGAAAUUUCCUGUCACAGAAACAGAGGUGAUGCUGGAGAACUGCUUGUAGGUACAGCAUAGGAAGAGCAGGCAAUAGGUGGAAGAGGAAUAAAGGAAAGGCUAAAGAGAUUUUUCUCCUGGAAGCGCAUGUAGUCUCUGGAGUCAGUCAGUGAUGAGGGGUGAUGGCUGCAUCCCCUUGACUUAAAGCUUGUUUAACUUUCCUGCUGUGGAGCUGAUGUUAGUCUGCAGAUAAUCUACCACAUCCUAUCUGCCUCAUGCUGAUCCACUUGCUGUCAGGUGAACAGGUCCUAUCUUGGGCAGCCCUUGUGCAGGAUGUGUACCUAUGUUGGGCAGUCCCCCUGUGCCUCUGCACGCUGCACACCCCUCCUGCAGCCUAUGGGAGAUUGAGAGAGAGCUAAUUCCAUGCAGGUAGGAACCAGCUGCUGCAGCAUUUUCUUUUUUAAGCAUAGGCCUGAAGCUGUGGCUUAUGUAGUGCCUUGCACAACCAGAAGAUUUAAACCUGCUUUUUGUUCUUUGAUUUUAAAGAAAUAAG